AUUCUACUCCCUCUGUUGCACAAUACAUGCCUUCUAUUUGUCAAAAUAUAUAUGUAUCUAGACAUGUUUUAGUAUAUAGGCACAUCCAUUUUUGGGCAAAUGGAAGUCAAGUAUUUUGGAACGGAGGGAGUACAUA
rnacentral:pre_miRNA from 1 species